UACGUAGGGACCAAGCGUUGUUCGGAUUUACUGGGCGUAAAGGGCGCGUAGGCGGCGCGGUAAGUCACUUGUGAAAUCUCUGAGCUUAACUCAGAACGGCCAAGUGAUACUGCAGUGCUAGGGUGUGGAAGGGGCAAUCGGAAUUCUUGGUGUAGCGGUGAAAUGCGUAGAUAUCAAGAGGAACACCUGAGGUGAAGACGGGUUGCUGGGCCAACACUGACGCUGAGGCGCGAAAGCCAGGGGAGCAAACGGG
rnacentral:rRNA from 1 species